rnacentral:misc_RNA from 1 species
UCCCGCUUAACACGGGCAGUCUCCGUAGAGUGCCACAGCCUGACCUGGGGGCAACUACGAAUAGGGGUUGCGCUCGUUGCAGGACUUAACCUAACACCUCACGGCACGAGCUGACGACAGCCAUGCAGCACCUGUCUUGGCGCUCCCUUGCGGGCACGAGCCGGUUUCCCGGCCCUUCGCCAGAUGUCAAACCCAGGUAAGGUUCUUCGCGUUGCAUCGAAUUGAACCACAUGCUCCACCGCUUGUGCGGGUCCCCGUCAAUCCAUUUGAGUUUCAAUCUUGCGGCCGUACUCCCCAGGCGGGAUACUUAGUGCGUUAGCUGCGGCACAAGAGGGGUCGAUACCUCUUACGCCUAGUAUCCAUCGUUUACAGCUAGGACUAC